GUUAUAUGGUCAAGUGAAGAAGCGCAUACGGUGGAUGCCUUGGCAGUCAGAGGCGAUGAAAGACGUGGUAGCCUGCGAAAAGCUUCGGGGAGUCGGCAAACAGACUUUGAUCCGGAGAUGUCUGAAUGGGGGAACCCAGCCAUCAUAAGAUGGUUAUCUUGUACUGAAUACAUAGGUGCAAGAGGCGAACCAGGGGAACUGAAACAUCUAAGUACCCUGAGGAAAAGAAAUCAACCGAGAUUCCCUUAGUAGUGGCGAGCGAACGGGGACUAGCCCUUAAGUGGCUUUGAGAUUAGCGGAACGCUCUGGAAAGUGCGGCCAUAGUGGGUGAUAGCCCUGUACGCGAAAAUCUCUUAGUCAUGAAAUCGAGUAGGACGGAGCACGAGAAACUUUGUCUGAAUAUGGGGGGACCAUCCUCCAAGGCUAAAUACUACUGACUGACCGAUAGUGAACUAGUACCGUGAGGGAAAGGCGAAAAGAACCCCGGAGAGGGGAGUGAAAUAGAUCCUGAAACCGUAUGCGUACAAGCAGUGGGAGCAGACUUUGUUCUGUGACUGCGUACCUUUUGUAUAAUGGGUCAGCGACUUAUUUUCAGUGGCGAGCUUAACCGAAUAGGGGAGGCGUAGCGAAAGCGAGUCUUAAUAGGGCGUCUAGUCGCUGGGAAUAGACCCGAAACCGGGCGAUCUAUCCAUGGGCAGGUUGAAGGUUGGGUAACACUAACUGGAGGACCGAACCGACUACCGUUGAAAAGUUAGCGGAUGACCUGUGGAUCGGAGUGAAAGGCUAAUCAAGCUCGGAGAUAGCUGGUUCUCCUCGAAAGCUAUUUAGGUAGCGCCUCAUGUAUCACUGUAGGGGGUAGAGCACUGUUUCGGCUAGGGGGUCAUCCCGACUUACCAAACCGAUGCAAACUCCGAAUACCUACAAGUGCCGAGCAUGGGAGACACACGGCGGGUGCUAACGUCCGUCGUGAAAAGGGAAACAACCCAGACCGUCAGCUAAGGUCCCAAAGUUAUGGUUAAGUGGGAAACGAUGUGGGAAGGCUUAGACAGCUAGGAGGUUGGCUUAGAAGCAGCCACCCUUUAAAGAAAGCGUAAUAGCUCACUAGUCGAGUCGGCCUGCGCGGAAGAUGUAACGGGGCUCAAACCAUACACCGAAGCUACGGGUAUCACGUAAGUGAUGCGGUAGAGGAGCGUUCUGUAAGCCUGUGAAGGUGAGUUGAGAAGCUUGCUGGAGGUAUCAGAAGUGCGAAUGCUGACAUGAGUAACGACAAUGGGUGUGAAAAACACCCACGCCGAAAGACCAAGGUUUCCUGCGCAACGUUAAUCGACGCAGGGUUAGUCGGUCCCUAAGGCGAGGCUGAAAAGCGUAGUCGAUGGAAAACAGGUUAAUAUUCCUGUACUUCUGGUUAUUGCGAUGGAGGGACGGAGAAGGCUAGGCCAGCUUGGCGUUGGUUGUCCAAGUUUAAGGUGGUAGGCUGAGAUCUUAGGUAAAUCCGGGAUCUUAAGGCCGAGAGCUGAUGACGAGCUAACUUUUAGUUAGCGAAGUGGUUGAUGCCAUGCUUCCAAGAAAAGCUUCUAAGCUUCAGGUAACCAGGAACCGUACCCCAAACCGACACAGGUGGUUGGGUAGAGAAUACCAAGGCGCUUGAGAGAACUCGGGUGAAGGAACUAGGCAAAAUGGCACCGUAACUUCGGGAGAAGGUGCGCCGGUGAGGGUGAAGGACUUGCUCCGUAAGCUCAUGCCGGUCGAAGAUACCAGGCCGCUGCGACUGUUUAUUAAAAACACAGCACUCUGCAAACACGAAAGUGGACGUAUAGGGUGUGACGCCUGCCCGGUGCCGGAAGGUUAAUUGAUGGGGUUAGCUAACGCGAAGCUCUUGAUCGAAGCCCCGGUAAACGGCGGCCGUAACUAUAACGGUCCUAAGGUAGCGAAAUUCCUUGUCGGGUAAGUUCCGACCUGCACGAAUGGCGUAACGAUGGCGGCGCUGUCUCCACCCGAGACUCAGUGAAAUUGAAAUCGCUGUGAAGAUGCAGUGUAUCCGCGGCUAGACGGAAAGACCCCGUGAACCUUUACUAUAGCUUUGCACUGGACUUUGAAUUUGCUUGUGUAGGAUAGGUGGGAGGCUUUGAAGCGUGGACGCCAGUUCGCGUGGAGCCAUCCUUGAAAUACCACCCUGGCAACUUUGAGGUUCUAACUCAGGUCCGUUAUCCGGAUCGAGGACAGUGUAUGGUGGGUAGUUUGACUGGGGCGGUCUCCUCCUAAAGAGUAACGGAGGAGUACGAAGGUGCGCUCAGACCGGUCGGAAAUCGGUCGUAGAGUAUAAAGGCAAAAGCGCGCUUGACUGCGAGACAGACACGUCGAGCAGGUACGAAAGUAGGUCUUAGUGAUCCGGUGGUUCUGUAUGGAAGGGCCAUCGCUCAACGGAUAAAAGGUACUCCGGGGAUAACAGGCUGAUACCGCCCAAGAGUUCAUAUCGACGGCGGUGUUUGGCACCUCGAUGUCGGCUCAUCACAUCCUGGGGCUGAAGCCGGUCCCAAGGGUAUGGCUGUUCGCCAUUUAAAGUGGUACGCGAGCUGGGUUUAGAACGUCGUGAGACAGUUCGGUCCCUAUCUGCCGUGGACGUUUGAGAUUUGAGAGGGGCUGCUCCUAGUACGAGAGGACCGGAGUGGACGAACCUCUGGUGUUCCGGUUGUCACGCCAGUGGCAUUGCCGGGUAGCUAUGUUCGGAAUAGAUAACCGCUGAAAGCAUCUAAGCGGGAAACUAGCCUCAAGAUGAGAUCUCACUGGAACCUUGAGUUCCCUGAAGGGCCGUCGAAGACUACGACGUUGAUAGGUUGGGUGUGUAAGCGCUGUGAGGCGUUGAGCUAACCAAUACUAAUUGCCCGUGAGGCUUGACCAUAUAACACCCAAGCAAUU
rnacentral:rRNA from 1 species